AUACGGAGGGUGCAAGCGUUAUCCGGAUUUACUGGGUUUAAAGGGUACGCAGGCGGUAAUUUAAGUCAGUGGUGAAAGCCUACAGCUCAACUGUAGAACUGCCAUUGAAACUGAAUUACUUGAGUAUGUUAGAGGUAGGCGGAAUACAACAUGUAGCGGUGAAAUGCAUGGAUAUGUUGUAGAACACCGAUUGCGAAGGCAGCUUACUAAACCAUUACUGACGCUCAUGUACGAAAGCGUGGGGAGCGAACAGAAUUAGAUACCCUAGUAGUCC
rnacentral:rRNA from 1 species